UAACAGCUCCAUGAUAGCACUUUGGCCUGUUGCUUCUCUGUCUGGGAUGUUUUUGUCAGCAGUUGCACACAGAAAGGACAGGAAAAUGAACGGCUGCUUCACACCCCCACCGGAGGAACCCGGCACCCUUAGCUGUGCAGGCUCCACUGGAGAGCUCGGGAGUGACUUGACCAUGGCAGCACCCUAUUUACAUAUUAAAAGACGGCAUUUUGGGGCCAAUGGGGUAAAAUAAUUGAGAAACCUGAACUGCAAGGCUGGUCCUG